AGCCAUAGGUUCUACCUGACUGUGAUGGAGAUGGGGGAGUUCAGAAGGUCUUGGAAGAGAAACUGGAGGAGGAAGAGGCUCAAGGAGGAGUGGGGAGAACAGCUGGAGACUGGCUGGGUAGGAUUGUGAACUCUUGCUGGGGUAGAUCAGAAGGCUCCUGGAAUUACCUUCAGGUCCAGGACAACUCAAUGUACCCCAGUACAUCUCCUGUGAGGGCCAGUCUUCUUCCAGCCUCCCCGUCCUCACGCUUGCAGCCACAGGACACGGAUUGGCUGUGAACUUGUCAUGCAGUUGAGGAUGGCCUUAAACAACUGGCUCUUCUGCCUCCACCUUCUGAGAGCUAGGCUUUACCGCAGGCUCAUCUCUGACCUUUGGCUCUUUCUCAGAUGUUUGAAAGCCAAUGUUCCAGUUCCUGUGGAAAAGCUGCUGAAGUUUUGUUUCCCUUUCCCUUCCUCUCCCUCCCCCCCGCAACAACAAAACCCAUGAAACAAAACAACAGCACCCACAUUUUACGAAUUUCCCCACUGAGAUCUUGUAGUUAUUUUCGUAAAGCUGGACAAGGUGUUGCACAUGUUAAAUCCCAGAACUUAGGAAGGGGAGGGUCACUUUGAUUGUCAGGCCAACGGGAGCCACAUAUAGAGACCUAUCUUUUAAACAGAGGGUUUAUUCUUUAGUAAGUCGUACUUUAUUUUUAGAUCUAUUCAUUUCAUGUGGAUGGGUGUUCUGCCUGCACCUUGUGCACGCAGUGACUGAGGAAGCUAGAGUGGGAGCCCUUAGAGCCGGAGUUAACACUGGACUCGAUGUCUUCGCUUGGGCUGGGUACUGAACCCUGGAUUUCUGGAAGAGCAGGCAGUGCUCUUUACCACUCAUCCAUCUCUACAGCUCUGUGCUUUUUAAAAAUGAAAAAAAAAAUUUAGUAAGAAUCAAGAUAGAAACUGGGCAG